rnacentral:rRNA from 1 species
UACAGAGGGUGCGAGCGUUAAUCGGAAUUACUGGGCGUAAAGCGCGUGUAGGCGGCAGCGUAAGUCGGGCGUGAAAUCCCACGGCUCAACCGUGGAAGUGCACUCGAAACUGCGCAGCUAGAGUCCUGGAGAGGAAGGUGGAAUGCUUGGUGUAGAGGUGAAAUUCGUAGAUAUCGAGAGGAACACCGGUGGCGAAGGCGGCCUUCUGGACAGUGACUGACGCUGAGACGCGAAAGCGUGGGGAGCAAACAGG